rnacentral:rRNA from 1 species
AAGAAAGUAAGUAAGGGCAGACGGUGGAUGCCUAGGCUCUCGGAGGCGAAGAAGGACGUGAUAAGCUGCGAAAAGCCGGGGGUAGGUGCAAAUAACCCUUGAUCCCCGGAUAUCCGAAUGGGGCAACCCGGCAGGCAGGAGGCCUGUCAUCCCGGCAUAGGGAAGCGAACGCGGGGAACUGAAACAUCUAAGUACCCGUAGGAGAAGAAAACAAAAGUGAUUCCGCAAGUAGUGGCGAGCGAACGCGGAAGAGCCCAAACCGAUGGUGUUUCGGCGCCAUCGGGGUAGAAGGACCACGAGAUGGCAAGAAGACUUAAAGCAGAAGGCCUUGGAACAGGCGGCCAGAGAGGGUGAAAGCCCCGUAAGCGAAUUGAGUCGGAAGCCUAGUGGGAUCCUGAGUAACGCGGGACACGAGAAAUCCUGCGCGAACCAGCGGGGCCCAUCCCGUAAGGCUAAAUACUCCCGAGAGACCGAUAGCGAACCAGUACCGUGAGGGAAAGGUGAAAAGAACCCCGAACAGGGGAGUGAAAAAGACCCUGAACCCGUCUGCCUACAAGCGGUCGGAGCACCGGAAGGUGUGACGGCGUGCCUUUUGCAUAAUGAACCUACGAGUUACCGUGUUUGGCAAGGUUAAGUGAGGAGACUCACGGAGCCGAAGCGAAAGCGAGUCUGAAGAGGGCGUCAAGUCAGGUGCGGUAGACGCGAAACCAAGUGAUCUACCCUUGUCCAGGAUGAAGGUUGGGUAACACCAACUGGAGGUCCGGAUGGAUAUACGUUGAAAAGUGUUCCAAUGAGAUGAGGGUAGGGGUGAAAGGCUAAUCAAACUUGGAGAUAGCUCGUACUCCCCGAAAUGCAUUUAGGUGCAGCCUCGGUGUUAUAUUGUAUGAGGUAGAGCGACUGAUUGGAUGCGAGGGCUUCACCGCCUAUCAAGUCCAGACAAACUCCGAAUGCGUACAAUAGAAGAACCGGGAGUGAGGGCAUGGGUGCUAAGGUCCAUGUCCGAGAGGAGAAGAAUCCAGACCACCUGCUAAGGUCCCGAAAUAAUGCUUAAGUUGAGAAAACGAAGUCUGAUCGCAAAGACAGCUAGGAUGUUGGCUUGGAAGCAGCCAUUCAUUUAAAGAGUGCGUAACAGCUCACUAGUCGAGGGAUCGGGCAUGGAUAAUAAUCGGGCAUAAAGCAUUUACCGAAGCAGUGGAUCCUUGUAAGAGGAUGGUAGGGGAGCAUUCCAAAAGCGUCGAAGAUGGAGGUUGACCUCUGUUGGAGCAUUUGGAAAAGCAAAUGUAGGUAUAAGUAACGAUAAAGGAGGUGAGAAACCUCCUCGCCGAAAGACUAAGGUUUCCUGAUCAACGUUAAUCGGAUCAGGGUAAGUCGGGGCCUAAUGAUAAGCCGAAAGGCGAAGCAGAUGGAAGAAACGGUUAAUAUUCCGUUACUGAUUGCAGGAGCGAUGUGGGGACGGAGAAGUGACAAUCCGGCCGGCUGACGGAAUAGCCGGUUGAAGGGUGUACGCGAAGAUCGGGGCAGGCAAAUCCACCCUGAGAGCGGAACCUGAUAGUAUGCCGCGUGCAUGCACAAGGCAAAAAGGAUGUAAUCAAGCUCCCGAGAAAAACCGCUAAGCAUAUGCUGCAAUCACCCGUACUAAAACGGACACACGUAGUUGGGUUGAGAAUACUGAGGCGCUCGAGUGAUUCACGGUUAAGGAACUAGGCAAAAUGGUCCUGUAACUUCGGGAUAAAGGACGCUCCGCUCAAGCGGAGCCGCAGAGAAUAGGCCCAGGCGACUGUUUAACAAAAACACAUGGCUGUGCGAAAUAGCAAGAUGAAGUAUACAGCCUGACACCUGCCCGGUGCUGGAAGGUUAAGAGGAGGUCUUAGAGGUGACUCGAAGGAUUGAAUUGAAGCCCCAGUAAACGGCGGCCGUAACUAUAACGGUCCUAAGGUAGCGAAAUUCCUUGUCGGGUAAGUUCCGACCUGCACGAAUGGUGUAACGAUCUGGGCACUGUCUCAACCGUGAGCUCGGUGAAAUUGUAGUAUCGGUGAAGAUGCCGAUUACCCGCGAUGGGACGAAAAGACCCCGUGAACCUUUACUAUAGCUUUACAUUGAAUUUGGGCAACGGAUGUGUAGGAUAGGCCGGAGGCAAAGAAGCUGGUACGCCAGUAUUAGUGGAGCCGCCGUUGAAAUACGGCCCUUUUGUUGUUUGAGUUCUAACCCGCGGUAAGCGGGGACACUGUAUGGUGGGUAGUUUGACUGGGGUGGUCGCCUCCAAAAGCGUAACGGAGGCUUCUAAAGGUGCCCUCAGACCGAUUGGUAACCGGUCGCAGAGUGUAAUGGCAAAAGGGCGCUUGACUGGGAGAGAGACAACUCGAUCAGGUAGGAAACUAGAGCAUAGUGAUCCGGUGGUUCCGCAUGGAAGGGCCAUCGCUCAAAGGAUAAAAGGUACUCCGGGGAUAACAGGCUGAUCCCUCCCAAGAGCUCAUAUCGACGGAGGGGUUUGGCACCUCGAUGUCGGCUCGUCACAUCCUGGGGCUGGAGAAGGUCCCAAGGGUUGGGCUGUUCGCCCAUUAAAGUGGCACGCGAGCUGGGUUCAGAACGUCGUGAGACAGUUCGGUCUCUAUCUAUCGUGGGCGUAGGAAAUUUGCGGGGAUCUGUCACUAGUACGAGAGGACCGUGUUGGACAGACCGCUGGUGAACCGGUUGUACCGCCAGGUGCACGGCCGGGUAUCUAAGUCUGGAAGGGAUAAGUGCUGAAAGCAUCUAAGCACGAAGCCCACCCCAAGAUGAGAUUUCCACAGAGGGUCGUCAAAGACGAUGACGUAGAUAGGCUGCAGGUGUAAGGUCAGUGAUGGCGUAGCCGAGCAGUACUAAUAGCCCGAGACUUUCCG